rnacentral:ncRNA from 1 species
AUCUUCAAGGCAGGGAGCAUUUCCCGACCGGCGGUAAAGUCCGCAAGCCGAAAGGCAUGAACCGGUGACAUUCCGGUACCGACAGUAUAGUCUGGAUGAGAGAAGAG